UUGAGUGGAGCCCGUGGAAGGCAUCAUGAUGGCCAAGGAGUAUCGUAUGCUGGUUGCAGACCAAAUACACCACAUCAUGACGAUCAUGUUUCCCAACAACAGUGGCGUUUUUCAGUAAGGUAAUCCACCAUGUUACAAGGCCAGGAGUGUGAUGGAGUGGUUCAAUGAACACAGUGCUGAGUUCCAAUUGAUCUGGAGGCCCUCCAGCUUGUCAGAUCUGAACCCGAUCGAACACGUGUGGGGUAUGAUCAAAUGUGGCUUCAGAGCUUGGCACCCCCUCCAUGGAAUUUAUGGGAAUUAUGUGCAGAUAUGGUGCCAACUCCCUCCAGCAAUCUACCAAGGCCUCAUUGCUUCCAUGCCACGACACUUUGCUGCUGUAUCCAUACGAAAGGUGGACAUACUGGCUGUUAGGUAAUUUUUAAUUCAGUCUAUAGAACUAGUUUUGCAGAUACUCCAUAUCUACAGAAUAAAAAGAAUGAAUAUUUGGAAUUUGUGUCAACAUGAAUGUACCUACAUCAUUUAAAGACUUAUUAUCAAAUGUGUGUAAAUGUGGCAUUGUGCUGACCACUUACAUAAGCACUAUUAAAUUCCUAGGAACAACUGAAUGGAUAAAUAAAUUCUACACACUGCUGUACAACACUGUUACAUAUACCCACCAUGAAUGAGAAAUGUCAGGAAUGUGAAAUUAUUAUACAUUAACAAUUUGAAGAGGCUGUUGGGAACUGGAGUAAAUUAUUUGGGCUUAUAUUGCAAAAAUUUGACAUAGUAAAGUUAACAAGAAGGCUACAGCUAUUGAGAUGGGGGACUGCUGCUUUAGAAUACAAUACAUAAGAUAGCUGUGAUACAGAAAUAGCCCAAUACUCUAAGUAAAAUCAGUAAAGGGUGGCACAAG